CCUACGGGAGGCAGCAGUGGGGAAUAUUGGGCAAUGGACGCAAGCCUGACCCAGCAACGCCGCGUGAAGGAAGAAGGCUUUCGGGUUGUAAACUUCUGUGCUCGGGGACGAAGCAAGUGACGGUACCUGAGGAAUAAGCCACGGCUAACUACGUGCCAGCAGCCGCGGUAAUACGUAGGUGGCAAGCGUUAUCCGGAUUUACUGGGUGUAAAGGGCGUGUAGGCGGGACUGCAAGUCAGCUGUGAAAACCACGGGCUCAACCUGUGCCCUGCAGUUGAAACUGUAGUUCUUGAGUACUGGAGGGGUAGACGGAAUUCCUAGUGUAGCGGUGGAAUGCGUAGAUAUUAGGAGGAACACCAGUGGCGAAGGCGGUCUGCUGGACAGCAACUGACGCUGAGGCGCGAAAGCGUGGGGAGCAAACAGGAUUAGAUACCCCGGUAGUC
rnacentral:rRNA from 1 species